rnacentral:rRNA from 1 species
AUUGAACGCUAGCGGCAGGCCUAACACAUGCAAGUCGGGCGAGUGGCGGACGGGUGAUUACUGUAUGGGGAUCUGCCUGAUGGAUGGGGAUACCUACUGGAAACGGUAGCUAAUACCGCAUACCAUCAGAUGAACCCAUAUGGGCUUAGCUUUUAGGUGAGGUAACGGCUACCCUAGGCGACGAUCCCUAGCGGGUCUGAGAGGAGGAUCAGCCACACUGGGACUGAGACACGGCCCAGACUCCUACGGGAGGCAGCAGUGGGGAAGAGUGCACAAUGGGCGCAAGCCGGAUGCAGCCAUGCCGCGUGUAUGAAGAAGGCCUUCGGGUUGUAAAGUACUUUCAGUCGGGAGGCGUUACCGACAGAAGAAGCACCGGCUAACUCCGUGCCAGCAGCCGCGGUAAUUC